rnacentral:lncRNA from 1 species
AGGAAUUUUCCAGCUCUGGGAGAGACAGUUUUUUCAGGAUCAAGACUCCAGAUGCCAGAGCAUCAAGAAUACAAAAAAUAUGAAAGUACAGUCAACUGAGGGGAACUUCCAAGCCAGCAAUUUCUGGUAUUAGCCCAAUUUGUGACUGAGGAUUCUCACCUAUGGAUAGACUUCUCCAUGUUCACGUGCUAUCAGGUCCUGGGCUGGGACUUGAACUCAUGCAUUUCUGAGCUCAAAGCACAACCGUCUGCAACAUUCUUCUGCCUCCGAGAGACAAUGUUGUGCUGGUCUUCAUGCUUUGUGAACUCAGAGCCUGAGUUGAAUCCAGAGUCAGCAAACCACCUCCCACAGGAAAAUCUUACCAGCUGCUUGUUGUGUAUGGCCCGUGAGAAAUUACACCCAAGCACUUUUAUCGUGGACCCAUUUAAACAAAGAGGAUAUGAGAAUAACUGACGGCACUUGACAGUACUUCUGGGAAAGUUUCAGAAGAAUGAAUCAUAACCAAGUUCCAAGAAACAGCAGGGCUGGUUGCCAUAAACAACUUCAUGUGUGAAACAAGGAAUGGAUAUUCCCUGAUAUUUUUUAAAUGUCGAGGUGAAAAAUGAAGAUGAUAGUUAUGAAUGUGGGGGUUGAUUCUGAGAAAUAAAAGACUGAAAUGAGGAGUAAAACCA